rnacentral:rRNA from 1 species
AACGAACGCUGGCGGCAUGCCUAACACAUGCAAGUCGAACGAGACCUUCGGGUCUAGUGGCGCACGGGUGCGUAACGCGUGGGAACCUGCCCUUAGGUUCGGAAUAACUCCCCGAAAGGGGUGCUAAUACCGGAUAAUGUCUUCGGACCAAAGAUUUAUCGCCUUUGGGUGGGCCCGCGUUGGAUUAGCUAGUUGGUAGGGUAAAAGCCUACCAAGGCGACGAUCCAUAGCUGGUCUGAGAGGAAGAUCAGCCACACUGGGACUGAGACACGGCCCAGAAUCCUACGGGAGGCAGCAGUGGGGAAUAUUGGAAAAUGGGGGAAAGCAUGAUCCAGCAAUGCUGCGUGAGUGAUGAAGGCGUUAGGGUAGUAAAGCUCUUUUACCCGGGAUGAUAAUGACAGUACCGGGAGAAUAAGCACCGGCUAACUCCGUG